rnacentral:rRNA from 1 species
AGUUGAUCCUGCUGGAGACUACUGCUAUUGGGGUUUGAUUAAGCCAUGCAUGUCCAAGGAGUGCUUGCACUCCUGGCGAACAGCUCAGUAACACGUGGACAAUCUGCCCUCGAGACGGGGAUAACCUCGGGAAACUGAGGAUAAUACCCGAUAGGUGCCAAGUACUGGAAUGUCUGGCACCCAAAUGAAUUUCGCUCGAGGAUGAGUCUGCGGCGGAUUAGGUUGACGGUAGGGUAAUGGCCUACCGUGCCCGCGAUCCGUACCGGCCUUGAGAGAGGGAGCCGGGAGAUGGAUACUGAGACAAAGAUCCAGGUUCUACGGAAUGCAGCAGGCGCGAAAUCUUCGCAAUGCGCGAAAGCGUGACGAGGGAACCCCAAGUGAAUACCGACUAGGUAUUCUUUUCCCAAGUGUAAAAAGCUCGGGGAAUAAGGGCUGGGUAAGACCGGUGCCAGCCUCCGCGGUAACACCGGCAGCUCGAGUGGUAGUCGUUUUUACUGGGCUUAAAGCGUUCGUAGUCUGCUUAGUCAGUCUUCUGUGAAAUCCACAGGCUUAACCUGUGGGCUUGCAGGAGAAACUGCUAGGCUCGGAGCCGGGAAGGGUCAGAGGUAUUCCCUAGGUAGCGGUGAAAUGCUAUAAUCUUGGGAAGACCACCGGUGGCGAAAGCGUCUGACUGGAACGGGCUCGACGAUGAGGGACGAAAGCUAGGGGAGCGAAUCGGAUUAGAUACCCGAGUAGUCCUAGCCGUAAACGAUGCGGACUAAGUGUUGCGGAAACCUCGUGUUCCCGCAGUGCUGCAGGGAAACUGUUAAGUCCGCCGCCUGGGGAGUACGGUCGCAAGGCUGAAACUUAAAGGAAUUGGCGGGGGAGCACCACAAGGCGUGGAGUCUGCGGUUUAAUUGGAUAAAACGCCGGGAAACUCACCAGGGGCGACGGCAGUAUGAAGGUCAGGCUGAUGGUCUUACCUGACGAGCCGAGAGGUAGUGCAUGGCCGUCGUCAGCUCGUACUGUGAAGCGUGCGGUUAAGUCCGUUAACGAGCAAGACCCGUGCCUCUAUUUGCGAUUCUUCUCCUUCGGGAGGGGGAGCACUAUAGAGGGACCGCUGGCGAUGAGUCAGAGGAAGGCGCGGGCUACGGUAGGUCUGUAUGCUCCGAAUCUCCUGGGCUACACGUGGACUACAAUGGCGUAAACAACGGGUUGCGACACCGAAAGGCGCAAGCUAAUCCCUUAAAUUACGUCUAAGUUCGGAUCGAGGGUUGUAACCCACCCUCGUGAAGCUGAAAUGCCUAGUAAUCGCUGUUUACCAUACAGCGGUGAAUAUGUCCCCGCUCCUUGCACACACCGCCCGUCAAACCAACCGAGUGGAUUUAGGAUGAGGCGUUUCCAUUGAGGAUGCGUCGAAUCCCAUUUCCGCAAGGGGGGUUAAGUCGUAACAAGGUA